rnacentral:rRNA from 1 species
UACGGAGGGGGCGAGCGUUAUUCGGAAUCAUUGGGCGUAAAGGGCGCGUAGGCGGCUUCAUAAGUCUUGGGUGAAAGCCCUCGGCUCAACCGAGGAAUUGCCUUGGAUACUGUGAAGCUCGAGGCUGGAAGAGGGCAGUGGAAGUUCCCGGUGUAGCGGUGAAAUGCGUAGAUAUCGGGAGGAACACCAGUGGCGAAGGCGGCUGCCUGGGCCAGUUCUGACGCUGAGGCGCGAAAGCGUGGGAGCAA